rnacentral:rRNA from 1 species
UCAGGAUGAACGCUGGCGGCGUGCCUAAUACAUGCAAGUCGAACGAGGUAGCAAUACCGAGUGGCGAACGGGUGAGUAACACGUAGGUAACCUGCCCUUAAGCUUGGGAUACUCAGAGGAAACUUUGGCUAAUACCGGAUAACAACAGAGAAGGCAUCUUCUUUGCUUGAAAGGCCCUUCAAGGGUCACUUAAGGAUGGACCUGCGGCGCAUUAGCUAGUUGGUGAGAUAACAGCCCACCAAGGCGAGGAUGCGUAGCCGAACUGAGAGGUUGAUCGGCCACAUUGGAACUGAGACACGGUCCAAACUCCUACGGGAGGCAGCAGUAAGGAGUUUUCGGCAAUGGGGGAAACCCUGACCGAGCAACGCCGCGUGAGCGAUGACGGUCCUUUGGAAUUGUAAAGCUCUGUUGUAAGCCAUGAAUGACAGCUUGAGGAAAUGCAAGUUGUUUGACGACAGCUUACCAGAAAGCCACGGCUAACUACGUGCCAGCCGCUGC